AACGUAGGAGACAAACGUUAUCCGGAGUUACUGGGCGUAAAGGGCGUGUAGGCGGUUUGUUAAGUCUGGCGUGAAAGCUCUCGGCUAAACCGGGAGAGGUCGUUGGAUACUGGCAAACUAGAGGACGGUAGAGGCGUGUGGAAUCCGGGUGUAGUGGUGAAAUGCGUAGAGAUCCGGAGGAACACCAGUGGCGAAGGCGACACGCUGGCCGUACCGUGACGCUAAAGCGCGACAGCAUGGGGAGCAAACAGG
rnacentral:rRNA from 1 species